rnacentral:rRNA from 1 species
UAAUACGGAGGGUGCAAGCGUUAAUCGGAAUUACUGGGCGUAAAGCGCUCGUAGGCGGUUUGUUAAGUCGAAUGUGAAAGCCCGGGGCUUAACCCCGGAAGGGCAUUUGAAACUAUCAGGCUUGAGUAUGGGAGAGGGAAGUGGAAUUCCUGGUGUAGAGGUGAAAUUCGUAGAUAUCAGGAGGAACACCGGUGGCGAAGGCGACUUCCUGGACCAAUACUGACGCUGAGGUGCGAAGGCGUGGGGAGCAAACAGGAUUAGAUACCCUGGUAGUCCACGCAGUAAACGUUGUUCACUAGGUGUAGCGGGUAUUGACCCCUGCUGUGCCGGAGUUAACGCAUUAAGUGAACCGCCUGGGGAGUACGAUCGCAAGAUUA